AAAUCGUCAUGCAUUAGUAGCGGUGAGUGAGCCGGCUUUCCUUUUUUGCUUAUGCGGCUUCUUCGCGGCCACGUUGGCAUUCCCAGAAGGUAUCUUUUCCUCCGCUUAUUGAUAUGCAGUUCUUGGAACAGAACGUCACAGAGGGUGAGAAUCCCGUGCGAUGAGAUGAUCCAGGCCUAUGUAAAGUUCCUUCGAAGAGUCGAGUUGUUUGGGAAUGCAGCUCUAAGUGGGUGGUAAAUUCCAUCUAAAGCUAAAUAUUGGCGAGAGACCGAUAGCGAACAAGUACAGUGAUGGAAAGAUGAAAAGAACUUUGAAAAGAGAGUGAAAAAGUACGUGAAAUUGUUGAAAGGGAAGGGCUUGAGAUCAGACUUGGUAUUUUGUAUGUUACUUCUUCGGGGGUGGCCUCUACAGUUUAUCGGGCCAGCAUCAGUUUGGGCGGUAGGAGAAUUGCGUUGGAAUGUGGCACGGCUUCGGUUGUGUGUUAUAGCCUUCGUCGAUACUGCCAGCCUAGACUGAGGACUGCGGUUUAUACCUAGGAUGUUGGCAUAAUGAUCUUAAGUCGCCCGUCUUGAAACACGGACCAAA
rnacentral:rRNA from 1 species